rnacentral:rRNA from 1 species
CCUACGGGCGGCAGCAGUGGGGAAUAUUGGACAAUGGGGGAGACCCUGAUGCAGCGACGCCGCGUGAGUGAAGAAGUAAUUCGUUACGUAAAGCUCUAUCAGCAGGGAAGAAAAUGACGGUACCUGAGUAAGUAGCCCCGGCUUACUACGUGCCAGCAGCCGCGGUAAUAAGUAGGGGGCAAGCGUUAUCCGGAUUUACUGGGGGUAAAGGGAGGGUAGACGGUUGGCCAAGUCUGGAGUUAAAUGCCGCAGCUUAACUGCGGAACUGCUGUGGAAACUGGGGAGCUGGAGUGCAGGAGAGGUAAGCGGAAUUCGUGGUGUAGCGGUGAAAUGCGUAGAUAUCAGGAAGAACCCCGGCGGCGAAGGCGGCUUACUGGACUGUAACUGACGUUGAGGCUCGAAGGCGUGGGGAGCGAACAGGAUUAGAUACCCUAGUAGUC